rnacentral:rRNA from 1 species
AUGGACCAAUCCAUCCCUUUUCCCCGUGCAUAUGCAUCGGACUCGGAUGACGAUGGUCCCGAUGAAGAAGUUGAUGAGGAGGGGUUCACGCCGAAGGAGGCCCAAGCAUUCAAGAAGGUAUUCGGGAAGGAUCACAAGACACCAUUGUUCAAGGAUCUUAGUCUCGCGGAUGAAGCCGUUGUGGAUGGUGGCAAAUGCAUAUCUCUUGGAGCUAGGCCAAGUUCUCACCGUGAUUUGGAAGACGGCAAGAACGGGAUAUAUCCCGGUUGUGAGUUUGAAUCCUUCUUGGAAUUGAAGAUGUGGCUUGACAACUAUUCGGUUACACAUUAUCGUCCACAUAAACUGGCCAACUCGGACGUCAAUGUGCGUUACACGGUCAAAUGUGAAGUGCCAAGAUGUCCAUGGAUUGUGCGUGCGAGGCCAUGGAAAGGAGGUCCCACUUGGCGCAUAGUGAGUUGUCUACCAACUCAAUGUGCCGGCACAAGAAUGCGGAUGGCGAGCUUGUGUACCAACAACACAGACAACUCACGUCCGAGUUCAUUGCUUACAGGUUAUCCAACCAAAUAUCCACACUUCCAAUAA